rnacentral:lncRNA from 1 species
CAAUGCAAAAGAGUUUUGUGAUGAAAAGGAGUGAAUACGCAGCGAGCUUUACAUCUCUGAGCAUCGUUUAGAGCUGAAUAUUUAAACAUUCAGAACGGAGAUAGCCUUGUUUUGUUAAUAGUCUCAUUGCAGGUCUAAUGCAUACAUCUCUCAUAUCAAUAAAUUUGCAUAGGUAAAACUUAGGAGUUCUCACACCUAACGUGAAAACAAUAGGUUUCAGUAGCAUCAAAGUGUCAAAUUUGAUAAUAACAACAUCAACAGCGGGGAAAAAUGUGAAGGUGCUAUAGGUCUUGUUUUUGUAGCAAGACCUGCAAUUUAAAAUGAGCUAAUGGACAUCAGGAGCAGUGUCUUCUGCUUCCAUAACACAGGCUGUACUUUUGUGCUGGACUGCCCCUGUGAAAAGCAUUGGUUCUAUACAUGGUUCUGUACAUCACGGGACUGGGAAUAUUUUUAAAUAACACAAUGCCAUGUGGGCACUUCGUCAGUGGAGGUCAAAGUGAUGGUAAGCACCACUUACAGUAAAAAGGUUCUAAUCCAGUCCCACACAGCUCUCCAGAACCACACCAAAAAGGCUUGUGCCCUGCUAAGGAUAAACGAAUCUGGCUCCUCGUUUGUGCCAUAACCCCUGAAUGCCUGCUUUUCACUUGAAAACUCGUUUGUUCUAGGGAAUGAGCCACAAAGGGUAGUGUUACAGAUGCUGCAUUACAAGAUAGAGAUGGUAUCUCCUUUAUGCCUUAAAUAAAUAUCUAGCUGAUCUCAGUUCUAAACAACAGAAGACAGGCACCUGCACAAAGAUGGGAAGGCUGAAUGGCGCUGAGCAUGAAGAUUCCCGGUGGCAACGAAUGCCCCGAAUGGAGCUGUUUGAUUUGCACCAGCACUCCCCAGCCCCAGAGUCAUUUAGACGAGGCAGCGCUAAUCACUCCUCAUUGCAGCUGAUUGGCAGAAUCACACUAAUGACAUCCCUGAAGCUGCCUUCGUGCUCAUCCUGCAGGAUCCUUUGCAGGAGAGGCAGUUCCUCCAAUCCCUCCCAGUGCCGGCGCUCUGUCUUCCUGCUCCCUGCCCUGUGCGGGCAGCCCACACUGGCUUUGAUUUCAGUAUAUUUGAGCAUCUGCACCCCAGGUGAAAUCACUGUGCUUUGCUGGUUGAAUCACUGCUGCGAUGGAGCAAAAGAGAAGUAUUGUGGUCUUCCCUUCUGCUGGAAGCAGCAGCCUGUGUUCUCCUUCUCAUAAAGUGUUAUCAGACACGAAGCAAACAGGAAGAUGAAAAAGGAGAAAUACUUUAACA